GGGGGAGGGGCACAACCACACGGUUGGGAGAAAAAAAAGAGACAGCCACAAAAUCCUCUCUCUCUCUCGGCAUACUCUCUCUGCAUAGCCUCAACCUCGAACAGCAGCUCUCUCCCUCCUGAAGUAGCGGUGCCCAACUAGCCACCACCUCACGGCCAUCCUGCAGUAGCCGCAGCCUCUGCCCCAUGCAGCAGCCGCGACCUCUUGCCCCUGCAGCAACUAUCCUUCUGUAGCUGCUGUGCCCAACUCCAGCCACCACCUCACGGCCCUCCUGCAGGUUCUCCCCACGGCUGUCCCUCCUCUUCUCCAAAGGAAACCCAAAAAGACUGGCAGAUCGAGGCCGCCAUUGAGAUAGUGUGAUACUAGCCCGCUAGGAGGGUAAGUUUUGGUCUAGGAACAGGAGAAUUGUGUUGUGGGUUCCUAGAUAUGUAUAUAUUCUUGUAUUUUUGAAGAUUUGUAUAUAAACACAGUAUUUUGGAAUUUA